UACGUAGGAUGCAAGCGUUGUCCGGAUUUACUGGGCGUAAAGCGCGCGCAGGCGGCAGGUUAAGUAAGGUGUGAAAUCUCCCUGCUCAACGGGGAGGGUGCACUUUAGACUGACCAGCUAGAGGACGGUAGAGGGUGGUGGAAUUGCUGGUGUAGCGGUGAAAUGCGUAGAGAUCAGCAGGAACACCCGUGGCGAAGGCGGCCACCUGGGCCGUACCUGACGCUGAGGCGCGAAGGCUAGGGGAGCGAACGGG
rnacentral:rRNA from 1 species